UCAAUGAAUUGAAAAUUAAAAACAGCAAACAAAAGGCCCCUGGUCCUUCACCACAGAUGGCUCGAAACAGUGCCUCUCAGGGAAAAGGGGGCUUGUGGAAGAUGCUUCCAUCAGGGCCUCGCUUGUAUGACACUUCAUCCAAAAUGCCAGUGAACUACGGGUCGUCCAGCUCCUGCAAUCCCCCAAGUACUUCGAAUUAAGAUAAAGGUGUGUUACAGACACGACUCUUGACAUCCAUCCCUCGCCGCAGAUGCAGUUUCCAUCCUGACUCAGAGAAAGCGGUGUCCCUUCCAGAGGGCCCGGCCACACCUGGAGCUAAAAACCCGUGCACAGACUUGCCAGCGUCUCUCCCUGUCCUUGAACCUUAGCCCUUCACAUCACAAUCAAUAAAUGCCUGUUUUGUACAGAGA